rnacentral:rRNA from 1 species
UACGGAGGGUGCAAGCGUUGUUCGGAAUGACUGGGCGUAAAGCGCACGUAGGCGGGUUUUUAAGUCGGAUGUGAAAUCCCCGGGCUCAACCCGGGAACAGCAUACGAAACUGGAGAUCUUGAAUGCCUGAGAGGCCAGUGGAAUUCCAGGUGUAGGAGUGAAAUCCGUAGAUAUCUGGAGGAACACCAGAGGCGAAGGCGACUGGCUGGCGGUGCAUUGACGCUGAGGUGCGAAAGCGUGGGGAGCAAACAGG